AGCUCUCCUGCUUUAUCCCAGGGCUAGAGGCAUCCUGCAACCAGCAAACUGGUCCGAAGACUCUGUCACUGGGAUCUAUACAAAUCCACACAGGACACAAGUUCCAAACUUUUACUUGGGACUAGCCCAUAUGAUCAUUACAUAUACAUUGCUGUGACAAACCUAAUGAAAUUAAAAUAAAAAAAAAAGUCACAAAAUAUACAGAAAAUUAUAAUAAGAAACAUUUUUAUAAAAGGGGUGUGGAAGACAGUAUUAAACACAAAACAUCUCUCCUGCCUGCAGAAACAGCAAUAUGCAAAUCUACCUGAAUAUGCAAAUUUACCAGCCUUGCUAUUCAGGUAGUGCAUAUUGCUGUUGCUCCAACAGAGAGCGCUACACAGGCUCCAUAGCCAAAUUCAACUUGUUGGUAGCAAUACUCGGCAGUACAGGAGAGCUGGCAAACCAGACUUGGGAACCACUUUAAAGUGUCCUUCUGCUCCCCCAAAGGUAGACUAGCCAGGUACCAGACCUCCAGUCGGUCUGUUCCUGAGUUAGUCCGGCAACCCGCCCCAAAACAUCUGGCCAACCUUGUAGAUGUGCAGGUAUCCCAGGGAUGUUUCCCCAGUCGCUAGGAAGCCAUCCCACUUCUACCACCAUUUCCCUGGAACUAUUUUGGGUUUCUUCCUCGUGGCUGGCCAGUCACAACUUUACCCCAGUGGCAAUUUCAUACCACCGAACCGAUCUGAGCGCUAUUUGGAUAUGUUGGACGCUCAGAUCAGGGCUAUCCGGGGGUAUGAAUCUUGAGGGGUUUCCAUGUAUUUUGGGGGUACUUUUGGUGUGUUGUAAGAUUCAUUCUGUAUUUCUGUACCUGAGAAAUAAUUGAGUUACAGUUUCCUGACUCAAUUUUGUCUCAGGCACGCUAUUUCUGUAUGGAGAGCACUUGCCGGGGGUCUGUGUUUAAAUUGAGAGUGCUUGCCUGAAAUAAACAGAUCUAAUCCCAGUAUUCAGUCUCGACUAAUGUAUUGGGGGGAAGCCAUACCAGCUGUAAUCACUUCCACAACUUGGUAGAGCUACUUCACACUGGGAGGGGAGUCUGUGGUGGCGAUAUACUGGCGGUACACUAAGAACUGAAAUCUGACACGCUACCUCGCGAACACCGCUGAACUUGUACCGCCGCCUGCUUCCCU